rnacentral:rRNA from 1 species
ACGAACGCUGGCGGCGUGCUUAACACCUGCCAGUCGAACGGAAAGGCCCUGCUUGCCGGGUACUCGAGUGGCGAACGGGUGAGUAACACGUGGGUGAUCUGCCCUGCACUUCGGGAUAAGCUUGGGAAACUGGGUCUAAUACCGGACAGGAGCCAUUAUUAGUGUGCAGGUUGGAAAGUUUUUUCGGUGUAGGAUGAGCUCGCGGCCUAUCAGCUUGUUGGUGGGGUAAUGGCCUACCAAGGCGGCGACGGGUAGGCGGCCUGAGAGGGUGGACGGCCACAUUGGGACUGAGAGACGGCCCAGACUCCGACGGGUGGCAGAAGGGGGGAAUAUUGCACAAUGGGCGCAAGCCUGAUGCAGCGACGCCGCGGAGGGGAUGACGGCCUUCGUGUUGAAAACUCCUUUCGCUAGGAACGAAGCUUUUUGUGACGGUACCUAGAUAAGAAGCACCGGCUAACUACGUG